AACCAUUCUCACCUGCGGCUAGACCUGCGGAAGGAUCAUUAAUGAAUUGUUCGAAUAAUCUAUGCGGACAAAUUCUUUAAAUCCGUAUCCACACCGGCCGGGGGGGUUCAAAUGAUGGACCUUUUCGGCCGUAGGGGGUUCUUGAAACUUUCUGGGCCUGGAAUUUUUUCUGGGCCGAGAGAGAGGAGAGGACUCCUGUCUGACCUUUGCCUAAAAUUGAUCUUUUUGACUGAAACUUUU
rnacentral:misc_RNA from 1 species